rnacentral:misc_RNA from 1 species
CACAUGAAAGACGCAUCAUAAUGGACUUUUGAUGCUCUUCAGGAACAUGCCUCUUAAGUUCCUCAUAGAUGUAGAACUUCAAACCAGCAUAAGGAAGGAUCCCGAUGAGUGUAGGACCUACUCCUCGAUACAGUGCACGUGUUCCCCAUUCCUUGUAAACACUUGUAAGUACAUCUUUUAGGCCACCAUAAGCAGGUUGAGCACAUACACUUUUUAUGCCACAUCUGAAACUUCCACUUCUGUCCAGGACCUGAUAAGCAAGUUUAGUACGAGCCAAAUCUAAGGGAUAGGUGCACAAAACUGCUGUUCCCCCAGCCGCUGAACCAGCUAAUAAAUCUAUAACAGGUCCUGAGCCUAAAGCAGGACAAUUAUUCAAGAUCCAACCACGAUACCGCUCAUAUGUCAUGAAAUGUAAGGCCGCAUAAGGAACAAUCCGAAUAACACUAGCUCCAUUUCCCUUAUAAAAGCCAAGAAUUCCCUCAUGCUUUAAUAAUUUCUUCA